rnacentral:rRNA from 1 species
GACGAACCGUGCAAACGUUAUUCGGAAUCACUGGGCAUAAAGGGCGCGUAGGCGGCUCCAAAAGUCAGGGGUGAAAUCUUACAGCUCAACUGUGAAACUGCCGUUGAUACUGCUUUUCUUGAGUUCGGGAGAGGUUGAUGGAAUUCCAGGUGUAGCGGUGAAAUGCGUAGAUAUCUGGAAGAACACCAGUGGCGAAGGCGGUCAACUGGCCCGAAACUGACGCUGAGGCACGAAAGCGUGGGGAGCGAACAGG